GACGAACGCUGGCGGCGUGCUUAACACAUGCAAGUCGAACGGAAAGGCCCUGCUUUUGUGGGGUGCUCGAGUGGCGAACGGGUGAGUAACACGUGAGUAACCUGCCCUUGACUUUGGGAUAACUUCAGGAAACUGGGGCUAAUACCGGAUAGGAGCUCCUGCUGCAUGGUGGGGGUUGGAAAGUUUCGGCGGUUGGGGAUGGGCUCGCGGCUUAUCAGCUUGUUGGUGGGGUAGUGGCUUACCAAGGCUUUGACGGGUAGCCGGCCUGAGAGGGUGACCGGCCACAUUGGGACUGAGAUACGGCCCAGACUCCUACGGGAGGCAGCAGUGGGGAAUAUUGCACAAUGGGCGGAAGCCUGAUGCAGCAACGCCGCGUGCGGGGUGACGGCCUUCGGGUUGUAAACCGCUUUCGCCUGUGACGAAGCGUGAGUGACGGUAAUGGGUAAAGAAGCACCGGCAAACUACGUG
rnacentral:rRNA from 1 species